rnacentral:rRNA from 1 species
GACGAACGCUGGCGGCGUGCUUAACACAUGCAAGUCGAACGGAAACGCCCUGCUUGCUUGGUACUCGAGUGGCGAACUGGUGAGUAACACGUGGGUGCUCUGCCCUGCACUUCUUGAUAAGCCUUGGAAACUGGGUCUAAUACCGAAUACGAGCCAUUUUUAGUGUGUUGGUUCGAAAGUUUUUUCGGGGUAGGAUGAGCUCGCGGCCUAUCAGCUUGUUGGUGGGGUAAUGGCCUACCAAGGCGGCGACGCGUAGACGGCCUGAGAGUGUGGACGGCCAUAUUGGGACUGAGGUACGGCCCAGACGCCUAAGGGAGGAAGAAGUGGGGAAGAUUGCACAAUGGGCGCAAGGCUGAUGAAGAGAGGCCGCGUGGGGGAUGACGGCUUUCGGGUUGUAAAAUACUUUCGCUAGGGAAGAAGCUUGUCGUGACGGUACCUAGAUAAGAAGCACCGGCUAACUACGUG